CAAGUCGAACGAUGAAGUUCCUUCGGGAAUGGAUUAGUGGCGAACGGGUGAGGAACACGUGAGAAACCUGCCUUUCAUUUUGGGAUAACUCCGGGAAACCGGGGCUAAAACCGAAUACUCCGUCUUGGCGGCAUCGCUAAGCCGGGAAAAAAUUUUGAUGAAAGAUGGUCUCGCGGCCUAUCAGCUAGUUGGUGAGGUAAUGGCUCACCAAGGCGACGACGGGUAGCCGGCCUGAGAGGGCGACCGGCCACACUGGGACUGAGACACGGCCCAGACUCCUACGGGAGGCAGCAGUGGGGAAUAUUGGGCAAUGGGCGCAAGCCUGACCCAGCGACGCCGCGUGAGGGAUGAAGGCCUUCGGGUUGUAAACCUCUUUCAGUAGGGAAGAAGCGAAAGUGACGGUACCUAAAGAAGAAGCACCGGCUAACUAUGUGCCAGCAGCCGCGGUAAUACAUAGGGUGCAAGCGUUGUCCGGAAUUAUUGGGCGUAAAGAGCUCGUAGGUCGUUUGCCGCGUCGAUUGUGAAAAUCUGAGGCUCAACCUCAGACCUGCAGUCGAUACGGGCAAACUAGAGUGUGGUAGGGGAGACUGGAAUUCCUGGUGUAGCGGUGGAAUGCGCAGAUAUCAGGAGGAACACCAAUGGCGAAGGCAGGUCUCUGGGCCAUAACUGACACUGAGGAGCGAAAGCGCGGGGAGCGAACAGGAUUAGAUACCCUGGUAGUCCGCGCCGUAAACGAUGGGCACUAGCUGUGAGAGCCUUCCACGGUUCUCGCGACGCAGCAAACGCAUUAAGUGCCCCGCCUGGGGAGUACGAUCGCAAGAUUAAAACUCAAAGGAAUUGACGG
rnacentral:rRNA from 1 species